CGCACAUUGCGCCCCUCGGUUCUCCGGGGGGCAUGUCUGUCCGAGCGUCGUUGCAACUCUCAAGUUUACUUGGUCAUGGGGAUCGUCCCGCCUGGCGGAGCGUCCCUCAAACGCAACUCGACGUGCCUUGUCACCGGAGCGCAGUAGAAUGCCGCCCCGUAAGGUGCCACCCGGGCUCCCCCAGCGGAGAACACCAGGUUGACCUCGGAUCAGAUAGGGAUACCCGCUGAACUUAA
rnacentral:misc_RNA from 1 species